rnacentral:piRNA from 1 species
UGAUAGCAAACACAGAGACACAGGAUGCUUU